AUAGGAGUCCGACUCUCCUACUACCUUGAUAGGUAGAUCCUCUACCUCCCAAAACUUUGUGAAAAGUUUGUCCAAUGGAGCAUCGCGGACGUGGGAAAUUUGGGUGGAGAAAGAUGCAAUCUGGUCUGGAACAGCACUUGGCACUGGACCGGUAAGCACCCACCCAAAGAUGGUUUGCUGUCCGAGGAGGGAACCACAGAUGUCGGUCUGUGAGCCGCUUAACAGUAUGGAAACGUCUAUCUGUGAGCUCUCAUAAAAUGUAGGGUCUGCUAAAGGCAGGUUCGGCAAGUCUCGCAACGCGCUCUGCGGGAUCGGAUAUGAAUGGAGAUUGCCGGCUAUGUCUGGCAGGACGUAGGCCGUGGCGUUUAACUGUUCGCUGGGCGUAAUCAGGGAGCGAAUGGACAAAUCACAGAGCUUCUUGGAUUGAGCUGCUACAGUCUGAUUUAGGCCUGAAACCUGGGCCUGAAUGAGGCGGAAUGGCAACUGGAUGAUAUUAAAGAGACGUUCCGUAAUGAACGUCGCUUCGGAGCCCGAGUCGAUCAGAGCGCGGGCACGGAAAUUUGUCGACCGGUGGCAGAUGUUGAUUAUUGCCGCACCGAGAAGCACCGCUCUUGUUCCCGAAGCAAAAUAGUUCUGAACGUUGGGCGGAGCGACGGAAGAAGCGUUGUUGUGGAAGUCAGCUCGCUGGGAGCUGGAGUACCACGAUGCAGGAGCGUGUGGUGGCGGGCUCCACAAGUGAAGCAACUGUGGGCGCUUUGGCAUUCCCGGAGCUGAUGACCUCUAGCGAAACAGUUCAAGCACAGUUGCCUUUUUUUAAUGCAGCUGGCUCGUGCGUCCACGGUCAUUUGUAAGAAGUGCGGACAUAGUGGAAUCGGGUGAUUCUCUUUGGAACAGAGAUCACAUGUUCUUCUUUUCGGGCUCACUUGUGUCUGGAAGGAGUGAAAGUUCCUUGGCACGGGACUACCUACCAUGAGACCGGAACGGAUUGGAGUUGCUUCCGGAGGGCUGCGGAUUCAAGGAACCUUUGGACGAUGGUGGGGUCGGAUUGCCUUUGUGAGGAAUAGCGCUGAGUGAGGAAGGCGUUGGAUUCCAACCUCCUUCUUGUCUGUGACGGACGCUUCCCAAAAAGACCGGGUCAACUUCGGCAACUUGGAGGCACAAAUAGUAACGUGCAGUUGUGCAGUUGUCGGUGCAGACCUUGGAGUGAGCAAGGGCGGUGAGGACCCCUUGCAUCGUGCUUUGAAGCUCUUUUAAAGCUCGACUGGUCUCGGACUCGACGCGAGGCAAAAAGAGCAAAAUAUUUAUCUGGUUGGUCACCAGGAGCCGAUUAUUUUCAUAACGGUUUCGGAGGGCCGACCAUGCCGUCUCGAAACCAUCGUUUGUGAGCGGGGACUUCUCGACUAUGGCCUUCGGAUCGCCACUUGUCUUCGCGCUGAGGUGGUACAACUUCUCUACCGGAGACAGCCUAGAAUUAUUUAUGUAAAUUGCAGUAAAUAAAUCUCGAAAAGUAGGCCAACGGACGUAAUCUCCUGCAAAGACCUCGAUGUCGCAGGGAGGCAGUCGGCAGCCGCCCUGGUAGGUUUGCGGUGCAGACGGAUGGACUGCUGCUUGGGCCAGCUGAGCAUUGAGGUCAGCGAGGCACUGCUCAAAUACCCCAUAGCACUCGCCGUACUUCUCUCGGAUGUUUUCUUGGACCCUUGGGUCCUCGUCAACCAUCACUGCGGAGCAAGCUUUAUACUCCGCCUCGACAUCCGCCCACAUACUCAGAAUUUGUCCUCGGCGAACCUCGGAAAGAGAUGCGGAUGGAGCGGAAGUGAUGCGCGCUUCCAAAUGAGACAGCCGGCCAAUGGCGGCGGCUAAUUUUGCUCGUGCAGUAGUGGUGGCGGGUUGAGCCAUUGUGAUGGAAGGUCUCGAGCUCACGGGACUAUUACCGAAAGAGCUGGUUGGAUCGUCUUGGAUCCGAGCUGGCACCUUGGGAGUGACGGGAGACGGGAAGAGAACCGACUUGGUCCUUACAGCAGGGCUGCUACUGGCUGCUCUGGGAGAGACUGGCAACUUGAUCUUUUGAGUGGGGGUAGUUCCUGAGACGGAAGAGGUGCGUAGCCGACGUGGAGAAGUCGCAGCCAAAAGCCCUUUGCUGUCCUUGUCACCCGUUGGCAUACUACUCACACACGCAGAGGUUGGAUGCGAAGUCGGAUGCGGAAUCCGCGGAUUGGCGAAAGAAGAGAAAAAAAAACUAAGGCUGGGCUGGGAACCACACGAGAAGGCACUAAAUCCCUUCAACACACAAAAAGAACCCACUGCUGGAGGAAUGGAAAGGACAAAAUUUUUUAAUACCAACUCGAAUUAUUUGUGGCCGCUCUGGAUCGAGGUUCCCAAACAAUGAGUGGAUCAAAUUGAUACACGCCGAGGAGAGGAACGGUCACACUGGCUGUGGCAAUAUUUGAAAAAAAAUAUAUUGUUAGUGCGGCUUUCCUCCGUUUACCCUUUUGACGGACCUUUGCAGUGGGCAACUAAUCUUCCUUAUCUAGUGCGGAUGGAUUGAGGACGGAAUUGGUCGAUUUCUUGCUCCCCUUUUUAUGCCGUGGAGGUGGUAGGGCCGAUGGGAUACACGAGCACGAGGAUCGGAGCCAAGAAAUUUACUGCUACUGGUGUGGCGGAGACUAUCGGAACGAAUAUGAAAUAAAAACUAUAAUUCCUUAUACUGUCAUCUGUUAGUGGAAGCGGAACCAACGUAGGACUAUGUAUUUUUGGAUAAUUCGGCAGCUUGAAUUUAUUUCUUGUCCUAAAUUUGGUGUUCGUGAUACCGAUAGUUUUUCUUAAAUUUUGUCACCUCUAAUUUCCCUCGGACAUACAAUUCGACAAUUGGCUCGAAAAAAUGCGAAAUCGCUGCGGAAAUGCGCUGUGCCUGGGUUGAGGAUAAUUUGUUACGGAAUUGGAGAUAAUAUCAUGUAUUGUGGCGACCAAAGUUAUUGCUGGAACGCGUAAACUGCUUGGAAUCGCAGAUUUGUAUUGUUAAAUAUAUAGACUGAUCUAUUGCAGCCAACUAUGGAAAUAUGUGCAUAUAGCUGUCGGAAUAAAAACACUUAAUAAU